GAAGAUAGUAGUUUUGCACUAUUUAUACCUAACGUUUUAUUGUCUGUCUUAUUUAAAAAAUUUUUAUAAUUAGUAUUUUUGUUGUUUCUAGAUGAUAAAAUAUGAAUAGUACUUUAUGUGUGUCUAUUUUUUAUAUAUUUUUUAAAUUUUUUUAAAUAAGACGAACGAUCACAUUGGACAUGGAAACAUACAGCUGCACUUAAA
rnacentral:pre_miRNA from 1 species